rnacentral:lncRNA from 1 species
AACUCGAGUUUUUUUUUUAUAACGCCAAUUUGCAAAUACCCUUGCUUUGAACAUUUCAUCAUAGAACUUGCAUCAUUUUGAAUGCUAACUCCAUUUUCUGCAUAUAUAAAUAAAAAUAAUUAAGAAAAAGUACAAUAAUGUUUUUUAUUUGGUAUCAAUGUGAAUUUCGUUAAAAAAAAGUACAAUAAUGUUGAAUAGCAAGAUUUUUGUUUAUUGUUUUUACUUACGGAUGAUAGCCACAAGUAGGAAAACUAAUAGCAAAAGCUUAAAUGAAACAGUCUUCAUUCUCUAAGUAGAUGUUGUUUUCGCGUUUCCCUGGUGAAGUUUUUUUCUUUUUCUUUGGUAUAUAUUUUUGAUGGUGCGAUGAAGCUAUUUUUCAUGGAGUUUUAUAGUCUAGUUUAUGUGAUGGUAGGCGGGGG